GAUGAACGCUGGCGGCGUGCCUAAUACAUGCAAGUCGAGCGAACGGACGAGAAGCUUGCUUCUCUGAUGUUAGCGGCGGACGGGUGAGUAACACGUGGAUAACCUACCGAUAAGACUGGGAUAACUUCGGGAAACCGGAGCUAAUACCGGAUAAUAGUUUGAACCGCAUGGUUCAAAAGUGAAAGACGGUCUUGCUGUCACUUAGAGAUGGAUCCGCGCUGCAUUAGCUAGUUGGUAAGGUAACGGCUUACCAAGGCAACGAUGCAUAGCCGACCUGAGAGGGUGAUCGGCCACACUGGAACUGAGACACGGUCCAGACUCCUACGGGAGGCAGCAGUAGGGAAUAUUCCGCAAUGGGCGAAAGCCUGACGGAGCAACGCCGCGUGAGUGAUGAAGGUCUUCGGAUCGUAAAACUCUGUUAUUAGGGAAGAACAUAUGUGUAAGUAAAUGUGCACAUCUUGACGGUACCUAAUCAGAAAGCCACGGCUAACUACGUG
rnacentral:rRNA from 1 species